AGUCCUUUUAAUCCGAUCCUGUGAGAUCGGAAAAGGGUAGCAUGAACGAAAAAACUUUAUCGCAGGCUUAUUCAAUCAGACCCUCUCGGUGACGCCGAGGGGGUCUUUUUUUU
rfam:Deltaproteobacteria bacterium 13_1_40CM_4_54_4 13_1_40cm_4_scaffold_20155, whole genome shotgun sequence.